GACGUAGCGCAACAAGCUGAAACAAAAUAUGUACUGCAGAUUUUUCCUUUUCCCUAAUUUUGCCCAGAAUUUUCCAAAAGGCACUAGUACAAAUCAAAUUUUUUUAUUUUUUCACUAUUUUUUUAUAUUUUCUCUGAAAAAGGAUGACAAAAGAUAUAACCACAAAAAUUAGAACCUACAACUGAGGUGGGAUGUGGUCUAUAGAAAUUUAGCAAGUUCUCUGAAAAGCGUGCAAAACCAUUGACAAUUUUUUUCUUUAUUUUCCUAAAUUUUUUUGGUAAUUUUGAUGAGACCAAUCAAGGCCUCGCCGAGUUCAGGUCAGGUCCAAAUGAUGUCAAGAAGUUGCUACAAAAAUUUCAAAUUUUUCUAAUAAAUGAACAAAAAGUUAUGCCUAUUUUACCAAAGGUAUCUCAAGUUAUGUUUUUCGGAAGGCACAACACGGAGGCGGCGGCAGUUAGGGCAAAGCGUCCCUAAACUCAACACCAAUCAUAGGAUGAAUCAUCCCUGUGACUAACAACAAUAACAAUUCACCUAAUGAUGUAAGGAGGGCUAUGAGGCAGGCAAAAUAACAGUAGCUGGCAGCCUAUCUAGGGUUAGCACGGCGACGAGAGAUCACACAAGGCGGCUAACGGGGGAAGUUGAGUAAUGUGGUGGCUUCGACUUGUUGUUUGGAGACAGUGGAUGGGAUAGCGGCAAAAACUAAGAACAACAAUGGUGCAAUGGAACUACGAUGACAAACACAAUAAAAACCAGCAACUAGACUCAACCACGGACACAAACUCAACAAAGCAAAUCUGAAAACAAAAUUGCAAGGCACAAUGGGUGAUAGGACUGCGGAAAUUGAAAUAUUUUUUGGGCUUUUUGUGGACUAUAGGUAAUGAAGAAAUAUGAAUCUAGGGCAAAUGAGAUUAUGCCUCACGGUAAACCUAAAAUAUCUGAUACCAAUUGAUGAGGACCAGGCCCGAUUUUCUGAGAGGUAAUUGGUAAAUUCAAUUUGUGGAGAACUCAAUGUUGGCGAUCCAGCUCCAAAUCAGCAUGAUUCAAACCCUGCAAC
rnacentral:lncRNA from 1 species